AUUUUUUAGCAGUUUGUGUGGUGUAUGUGCGUGUGUGUACGCGAUUUAGACCGUGAUGUAUUUGACUGGUGUAUAUCCCUAGAAAGAAACUUAAUCGAAAUGUAAUUAAGCAGAAAUGUAAUUAACGUAGGCAACUCCGCACACAGGAUUAAAGGCACAGAAAAUGAUGAUGGAUUAGAAAGGUUUUAUAAUUGAUUUCUCACCUGGAAAAAGGUAUCACAAAAAGAGCUAACCAGACAAUGUCGGCUGAAAUUUUUUAGAAAUUUCGGUCAUUACUUGUUCAACAAUAAAACAUGUACACUGCUCCAAAAAUUGACGCUCCAAUUAUUCUGAAAAUUAUUGCAAAUUAAAAAAAGUGUGAGUGUACUUUGUACGCACGUAAGAACUUAUACCUCUAUUAUUAUGAUUUCAACGAAAUAAAUAUAUUUUAAACAGUU
rnacentral:lncRNA from 1 species